GUGCGAGCGUUGUCCGGAAUUACUGGGCGUAAAGAGCUCGUAGGUGGUUUGUCGCGUUGUUCGUGAAAACCGGGGGCUUAACCCUCGGCGUGCGGGCGAUACGGGCAGACUUGAGUACUGCAGGGGAGACUGGAAUUCCUGGUGUAGCGGUGGAAUGCGCAGAUAUCAGGAGGAACACCGGUGGCGAAGGCGGGUCUCUGGGCAGUAACUGACGCUGAGGAGCGAAAGCGUGGGGAGCGAACAGG
rnacentral:rRNA from 1 species